UACGGGGGAGCAAGCGUUGUUCGGAUUUACUGGGCGUAAAGGGCGCGUAGGCGGCCACCGCAAGUCGGCUGUGAAAGUCCAGGGCUCAACCCUGGGAUGCCGGUCGAUACUGCCGGACUAGAGUUCGGAAGAGGCGAGUGGAAUUCCCGGUGUAGCGGUGAAAUGCGCAGAUAUCAGGAGGAACACCGGUGGCGAAGGCGGGUCUCUGGGCCGAUACUGACGCUGGAGGAGCGAAAGCGUGGGGAGCGAACAGG
rnacentral:rRNA from 1 species